rnacentral:lncRNA from 1 species
GUGAAUGCGGUCCUGUAAAUGCUGGCGAUCUUGUAGCAGUGCUGAUUAGCGAGUUGCUCCAACACCUCCUCAUAAUUUUUUCCUGCUCAUCACUCACCUGCUUUGUCAAAAUGAACAAGAAGGAAGCAUGAUUGAGCUGUGCACCGAGGCGGCAAGGAAGCCCUGGAUGACCCUCUUAACAGAGGCUGCCAAGGCUCCAGCGCCCACUUUCUCAGCCUCCCUUGCUGCUCAGGAUGAAAUAUGUAGAGCUGGAGAAGAGACAUGGUUAGUCCUUACGUCCUGCCUUAAAUGAUGAUGUGAUGGCCAUUAUCUGGAUCCUUCAUGGAAUUUCGGCAGUUCCAACGUGUCAGGCCAGUGUCUGGGAUUCUCUCAGCCUUUCGCUUUUUCCCCUGGGAGUCGGACAGCUGCUGCAGCUCAGUCAGACCAAACCUCUCUGAAUACCACCAAGAAUCGGGAUCUUGUUCUGUUGUCCAGGCUGGAGUGCAGUGGUACAAUCACAGCUCACUGCAGCCUUAACCUCCUGGGCUCAAGACAUCCUCCCACGUCUGCCUCUCGAGUAGCUCGGACCACAGAUUCUUUUCAGGCUAAACCCUUCACAGAAAUCUGAAUAAUUAGUUUUUUCCAGAGCUACAGAAUACAAUAAUAUCAAUUUCCACAUAUGCUAAAAAACAUCAUUACCUUCUUCCCUUGGAAGGCUUAUAAUCCAAGCAAUAGGUAUCUACAGCUUUGCGUUUAGUGGUGGAAGCCUCAGGCCACUGAUAAACAGAAAGAAAAUGUCAAGAGGAAUUUGUUUCCAAUGUCUUAUACAAAUAACCUUGGUUUUUAUUCUAGAAAAAGUCACAUAAUAUGCCAAAAGUUCUUGGCACAUUAGGUAGUUUGGUACUUUAAAAUACAAACUUGUUUGUCUUUAUUCAAGAAUUAGCAAAAACAUCUAAGUUCCAUGGAGUAAUAUUUUACUUCAGUGACUCGCAUGAGAACAAUACACAUACAAGGGACUAGGGCCACGUGAUGAGAACAGCACUCUGUUCUUAAAUAUCAGCUCUAUUUUGCUUCUUUAUUUGUACUUUAUUGCUUGGAGCUCUUUUUUAUGAGCAUGCAUCAUUUUCUACAAAGAAUAAAGUAAUUUUAACAAAGCAAGUUGACUAUGAACAAGGACUAGAAAAUAAUUUAGGAGAACGAAAUGUUGCUUUGUAAGAGAAGUAGGAGCAAUUGUAGGGGACUCCCAGGAAUGUGAAGAUGGGAUGUCAGAUGAUGUUGCUAAUUCUAUUGAUCAAGCGCUAAGCCCCAUUUACCCAUUAACUCACUGAGGCCUUCCAGUGAGCACCACCUGCGAGGGAGCACUCCACCCCUAUCUAGUAAGCACUAUUCUGUUCUGGAAAUGAGUCUGAGACACAGAAAGGUUAAGUAACUUGCUAGAGGCUACACAGUAUUAUCAGUGGAGAACUACGUGCUUGGACUACUACACUAGACUUCUCUCUACCCUUCAGUUUCUAAAAGUAAUUUCCCCCAUAGGAAAUCUUGAUUACUCUCAUCCACUCAGAUCACUCUUCUAUGCUAUAUUUCUUCAGCCCUAAUAUACACAUUUUGUACUGUAGUGUUUUGUUUGUUUGUUUUUGGAGACAGAGUCACCCAGGCUGGAGUGUAGUGGCACGAUCUUGGCUAACUGUAACCUCUGCCUCCUGGGUUCAAGUAAUUCUCCUGCCUCAGCCUUCUAAGUAGCUGAGAUUACAGGCACUCUUCGCCGCGCCUGGCUAAUUUUUGUAUAAUAUUUUUAGCAGAGACGGGGUUUUGUCAUGUUGGCUAGGCUGGUCUCAAACACCUGGCCUCAAGCAAUCCACCCGCCUCAGCCUCCCAAAGUGCUGGGAUUACAGGUGUGAGCCACUGUGUCCAGCCCUUAUGUUUUAUUUAUUCAUUUAACAAUUAUUUGUUGCGUGCUGCUGAGUGCCAGGCCUGACGCCGGCUGUGAAGAUUUCAGAAGGGCCUGCCAAACCGUCCCUGUCCAAAACAGCUCACUAUCAAGCAUGGUUAUUUUGUAAGUGUUCUGCACUGGCUUCCUUCUUCCCUAAUCAGACCAUCUGUUGGAUCUCAUGGAGCUGUCUCCUAUUUCUCUGUAAUCAAGCCACAGUAUCUAACAUUUGGGGCCACUGGUAACUUGCCGUCUACUCCCAUGCUGGAAGCCCAGGACCCUUGAACAUAAGAGGCGCCUUCUGACACCUGCGGUGCUGUCAGAGCCUGCAGGCUGCAGACAGUGAGUCAGGAACUGGAGAAUUCCCAGGAGUGGUAUAAGGAGCUGGGACUCGCGUCAGACAGGGAAAGGACUGACAGAGACCAGGACAGAACAAGAAGCACAAGGAAAGUCAAGAGGAGAGUAAUGACCGCAAUCCCAAGGUAGACUGGACUGGAGUGUCUGGAGGGUCCGACAGGAGAAGGGCAUUUGUGUUCAUCACGGAGCUACUAGGAGAAAGAAGAGCCUGGGUCUUAGCAAGGAUGUGGUCAGGACACAACAAUAGAGUGGACCCCUCCAGUGAGUGUGGACUAUGACUUAUGGCAGGCCCAAGGGUCCCAGCGCAGGGUGGGGUGGGGAGGGCAUGGCUUGCUGUAGCAUCACGCACUGCUAGUCACCAUCUACCCAGUACAGGUCACCAAUGAUGGAACAGCUACAGCCUCCUCCCCUUCCCCUGUACUCCCUGUGCCCCCUUCUUUUUUUUUUUUGAGAUGGAGUCUCGUUCUGUCACCCAGGCUGGAGUGCAGUGGCGCGAUCUCGGCUUACUGCAAGCUGCGCCUCCCAGGUUCACGCCAUUCUCCUGCCUCAGCCUCUCGAGUAGCUGGGACUACAGGCACCUGCCACGAUGCCUGGCUAAUUUUUUAUAUUUUUUAGUAGAGGUGGGGUUUCACUGUGUUAGCCAGGAUGGUCUCGAUCUCCUGACCUUGUGAUCCGCCCGCCUCAGCCUCCCAAAGUGCUGGGAUUACAGGCCUGAGCCACCGCGCCCGGCCCCUGUGCCCCCCUUCUUAAACAUGUUCUCAACAGUGGUUUAGCGAUACCCAAGCAAGGCCUUUGCAUAUGUGGGAAGUUGUGCACCAUGCAAGAGUGCCACAUGCAAACAGCACCUUUCCCCGUGUAGACACUGUAGAUUUACAUACCCUUACCACAUACCCUUCCAGGAACAGGGAAGCAAAGGCUCUUGAGGAAGAGAUUUCCCACAAAGGUGCUAUGUGGGUUAGUGUUGGCAUGCUCACCAAGAGAUAUUUCAAGCUAUUUCCAAGGGUAUUGGAAAAAUCAUUUAUAAGCAAAUUCUUUUUUUACUUAUGGAAAAUUUUAAGCAUAUACAAAAAUAGACAACAGUAUCAUGAACCUCUACAUAUCCAUCACAUGCAACUUCUUUUUAAUUCGCUUAAAUUUAAAAAUAGAUACGUGAAAUAAAGCAUUUGGGGCAGAAGUUCAUUGCAAAAUCAAAUGAUAGAAUUUCACAGCUCCUAGGCAAUCAAAUACUCCCCUUGUGCCAUAAGGAGAUUUAGGCCUUUUAUUUCCUUUUCUUUUACAAUUUGUUUUCUUUGCUAUCAUUCAUAUGUAGAGUUCUCCUGCAGUAUGUAGAAGGUGGACAUUGUCAUUUUCAAAAAUGGAGUAAUUAUGGCCUAUCUACCUGACUGUGCAGCUAUCAAUAAUAAUUAUUAUUAUAAAGGCCAUAUAACAGGGAAAAGCAUUAUUGAUUAGUGUUAAUAAACGGUAUAAAUUGUACAUAAACAGUGAUGUCUACUGUGUGAACAUAUACUAGAUAUGCAUGUAAACAAAAACUAGAGGUAAAUUGAAAAAAUAAAAUCAGUUUUUGCAU